AGAAGAAGCACCGGCUAACUACGUGCCAGCAGCCGCGGUAAUACGUAGGUGGCGAGCGUUGUCCGGAUUUAUUGGGCGUAAAGAGCUCGUAGGUGGUUGAUUGCGUCGGAAGUGAAAACUUGGGGCUUAACCCUGAGCGUGCUUUCGAUACGGGUUGACUUGAGGAAGGUAGGGGAGAAUGGAAUUCCUGGUGGAGCGGUGGAAUGCGCAGAUAUCAGGAGGAACACCAGUGGCGAAGGCGGUUCUCUGGACCUUUCCUGACGCUGAGGAGCGAAAGCGUGGGGAGCGAACAGGCUUAGAUACCCUGGUAGUCCACGCUGUAAACGGUGGGUACUAGGUGUGGGGUCCAUUCCACGGAUUCCGUGCCGUAGCUAACGCAUUAAGUACCCCGCCUGGGGAGUACGGCCGCAAGGCUAAAACUCAAAGGAAUUGACGGGGCCCCGCACAAGCGGCGGAGCAUGCGGAUUAAUUCGAUGCAACGCGAAGAACCUUACCUGGGUUUGACAUGGACUGGGAGUGCUCAGAGAUGGGUACGCCUCCUUGUGGGGCUGGUUCACAGGUGGUGCAUGGCUGUCGUCAGCUCGUGUCGUGAGAUGUUGGGUUAAGUCCCGCAACGAGCGCAACCCUCGUUCACUGUUGCCAGCACGUUAUGGUGGGGACUCAGUGGAGACCGCCGGGGUCAACUCGGAGGAAGGUGGGGAUGACGUCAAGUCAUCAUGCCCCUUAUGUCCAGGGCUUCACGCAUGCUACAAUGGCCGGUACAAAGAGUUGCGAGCCUGUGAGGGUGAGCGAAUCUCGGAAAGCCGGUCUCAGUUCGGAUUGGAGUCUGCAACUCGACCCUAUGAAGUCGGAGUCGCUAGUAAUCGCAGAUCAGCAACGCUGCGGUGAAUACGUUCCCGGGGCUUGUACACACCGCCCGUCAAGUCAUGAAAGUCGGUAACACCCGAAGCCGGUGGCCUAACCUGUGUGGGGGAGCCGUCGAAGGUGGGACUGGUAAUUAGGACUAAGUCGUAACAAGGUAGCCGUACCGGAAGGUGCGGCUG
rnacentral:rRNA from 1 species